GCUAUGCGCCAGCAGCCGCGGUAAUACGUAGGGUGCGAGCGUUAAUCGGAAUUACUGGGCGUAAAGCGUGCGCAGGCGGAUUGUUAAGCAAGAUGUGAAAUCCCCGGGCUUAACCUGGGAAUGGCAUUUUGAACUGGUAGUCUAGAGUGUGUCAGAGGGGGGUGGAAUUCCACGUGUAGCAGUGAAAUGCGUAGAUAUGUGGAGGAACACCAAUGGCGAAGGCAGCCCCCUGGGAUAACACUGACGCUCAUGUACGAAAGCGUGGGUAGCAAACAGGAUUAGAUACCCUGGUAGUCCACGCCCUAAACGAUGUCAACUGGUUGUUGGGGGAGUGAAAUCCCUUAGUAACGAAGCUAACGCGUGAAGUUGACCGCCUGGGGAGUACGGUCGCAAGAUUAAAACUCAAAGGAAUUGACGGGGACCCGCACAAGCGGUGGAUGAUGUGGAUUAAUUCGAUGCAACGCGAAAAACCUUACCUACCCUUGACAUGUCCAGAAUCCUGCAGAGAUGCGGGAGUGCCCGAAAGGGAAUUGGAACACAGGUGCUGCAUGGCUGUCAUCAGCUCGUGUCGUGAGAUGUUGGGUUAAGUCCCGCAACGAGCGCAACCCUUAUCAUUAGUUGCUACGCAAGGGCACUCUAAUGAGACUGCCGGUGACAAACCGGAGGAAGGUGGGGAUGACGUCAAGUCCUCAUGGCCCUUAUGGGUGGGGCUUCACACGUCAUACAAUGGUCGGUACAGAGGGUUGCCAAGCCGCGAGGUGGAGCCAAUCCCAGAAAGCCGAUCGUAGUCCGGAUUGUUCUCUGCAACUCGAGAGCAUGAAGUCGGAAUCGCUAGUAAUCGCGGAUCAGCAUGUCGCGGUGAAUACGUUCCCGGGUCUUGUACACACCGCCCGUCACACCAUGGGAGUGGAAUCUGCCAGAAGUAGGUAGCCU
rnacentral:rRNA from 1 species